rnacentral:rRNA from 1 species
GUCCACACUGUAAACGAUGAUUACUAGGUGUGGGGAUAGACCCCUCCGUGCCGCAGCUAACGCAAUAAGUAAUCCACCUGGGGAGUACGGUCGCAAGACUGAAACUCAAAGGAAUUGACGGGGCCCGCACAAGCAGUGGAGUAUGUGGUUUAAUUCGACGCAACGCGAAGAACCUUACCAGGUCUUGACAUCCCGUGCAUAGCAUAGAGAUAUGUGAAGUCUUUCGGGACACGGAGACAGGUGGUGCAUGGUUGUCGU